rnacentral:rRNA from 1 species
GGUUGAUCCUGCCAGUAGACAUAUGCUUGUCUCAAAGAUUAAGCCAUGCACGUGUAAGUAUAAACAACUUUGUACUUGUGAGACUGCGAAUGGCUCAUUAAACCAGUAAUAGUUUAUUUGAUGGUCCAAUUUCUACUUGGAUAACUGUGUGAAAACAGAGCUAAUACAUGCGAAAAGGGUCAUUGUGAGAGCAGUGAUUCGUAUUUAUUAGUUAGUAAACCUAUGGAAGGUGGCAGCAAUGCUGCUUUUAUCAAAUGGGUGAUUCAUAAUAACUUGUACGAAGCGUACGCC